UUUCUGUGUUCGAUUAACUGUGUUUAUUGUGUUUUAGGUGGAUCCAGUCAGACAGCAGUCAGAACUUCACCACAAAUCAACCAGUCAACCAGCCUGAAACUGUUGAAUACGACUCUCUUCUCCACGGUUCUGUUGAUGUCUAUGAGACCAUCAGACCCUCUGGAGAUACUGCAACUGGCAAUCAUCGCGGACCAGAGGUGGACCCUGAUUACGUUAAUAUGAGGACAAGAACUGCAGACCCCCCUUCCAGACCAUGACAAUAUCAUCCAACCAGAAUAAAGGAGAACAAAAAAAUACAGAAAAAAAGUAUGUAAGUUUAUAUUCACCUGAGGGUCCAAAUAUGUUUAUUUGGAAAAAAAUAUAUACCAAAAAAGCACAGUUUGUUGACCAAAUGUGGUUUCAGAAAUGUUUCACUCAGACAACACAGUAACAUAUUUCUGGUUAAGUUGUGAGUUGUGACAUUAUAGCUAAAUAUUUCCCAUGAAUCAUUCAAGAUUAUUUUAUAGUCAUUGAGCAUUCAGCGUCCCAGCACAACAAAAUUUCAUUCCAGUCAAAAAACAACAAAAACAUCCAAACAAACAAUACAAGACAAGGGUAGACAGGUGCCUGGGGCUUCAGACAUGGGGAGGCGCCGAAUCAUCUCUUCAUUGACAGAAAAAAAUAAUCCUGCAGCAACUGAUGCAGCAGUUUAUUCUGCAGCUGGAUCAGCAACAUCUCUGGAUCAUCACGCUGCCGUGUAGGCUGCAUCCCUGCUGCUUUAAUCUGUGAUAUAUAAGACUGAUUUAUACAUAUAUUAUUAUUAUUAUUAUUAUUAAUAAUGAUAGUUCACUUUAAUUUAUUGUAUGUACAGUCCCAUUUAAACUUAAUUCUCAGUCUUAUCACAAAACACCAGCUUCACAUUUACUACUAUUGAGCUAAUUUUUAAUAACUUUUUAGUUUUAGUUACAUUUGAAUGUGUUUUUUUGUUUUAAAAUGCAGAAACAGACAAAAGUGUGAAAUAUGUGAUCUCUUGUGUCCGAUAGUUUAGUUUUAAAGUCAGCAUCUUUUGUUUCUUUUGUGUGAACUUUGUUUUUACUUGUAUGAUGAAUUAUAAAAGUCAUUUUGUAUUUUUCAUGUUUAUUCUCUUAAGUGUUUUAUGUAUUCUUUAACUUUGUUUUAGCAGUCAGUUUUUGUAUUAUUCAUUUUUUACAUGUUGUGUUUGCAUUUCAGUUUCACAUUUGUCAAAUUUUAAUAAAAGAUCAAGAAGUCUACAAA